rnacentral:rRNA from 1 species
ACGUAUGGGGCAAGCGUUGUCCGGAUUUACUGGGCGUAAAGGGCGCGUAGGCGGUUUGUUAAGUCGAAGGGAAAUCCUCGGGCUCAACUCGAGAAUUGCCUUCGAUACUGGCAAACUAGAGUGNCGGAGAGGAAAGCGGAACUCUUGGUGUAACGGUGGAAUGUGUAGAUAUCAAGAGGAACACCGGUGGCGAAGGCGGCUUUCUGGACGCACACUGACGCUCAGGCGCGAAAGCGUGGGUAGCAAACAGGAUUAGAUACCCUGGUAGUCCACGCCAUAAACGAUGGGUACUAGGUGUCGGGGGUAUCGACCCCUCCGGUGCCGCAGUUAACGCACUAAGUACCCCGCCUGGGGAUUAUGGUCGCAAGGCUGAAACUCAAAGGAAUUGACGGGGCCCCGCACAAGCGGUGGAGCAUGUGGUUUAAUUCGACGCAACGCGAAGAACCUUACCUGGGCUUGACAUGCUUGGGACAGCGCUGGAAACAGCGUCUCUCCUUCGGGAGCCCUUGCACAGGUGCUGCAUGGCUGUCGUCAGCUCGUGUCGUGAGAUGCUGGGUUAAGUCCCGCAACGAGCGCAACCCUCGUUACUAGUUGCCAUCAGUUCGGCUGGGCACUCUAGUGAGACUGCCGGUGAUAAACCGGAGGAAGGUGAGGAUGAUGUCAAGUCAUCAUGGCCCUUACGCCCAGGGCUACACACGUGCUACAAUGGUCGGCACAAAGGGUCGCUAAGCCGCGAGGUGGAGCUAAUCCCAAAAAGCCGGCCUCAGUUCGGAUUGGAGUCUGCAACCCGACUCCAUGAAGGCGGAAUCGCUAGUAAUCGCGGAUCAGCAUGCCGCGGUGAUAUGUUCCCGGGGCUUGUACACACCGCCCGUCAUAUCACCCGAGUCGGGGAUACCCGAAGUCCGUGACCCAACCAUUUGGAGGGAGCGGCCGAAGGUGUGCCUGUAAGGGGG